AGUGAACGCUGGCGGUAGGCCUAACACAUGCAAGUCGAACGGCAGCACAGUAAGAGCUUGCUCUUACGGGUGGCGAGUGGCGGACGGGUGAGGAAUACAUUGGAAUCUACUUUUUCGUGGGGGAUAACGUAGGGAAACUUACUCUAAUACCGCAUACGACCUACGGGUGAAAGCAGUGGAUCUUCGGACCUUGCGCGAUUGAAUGAGCCGAUGUCGGCUUAGCUAGUUGGCGGGGUAAAGGCCCACCAAGGCGACGAUCCGUAGCUGGUCUGAGAGGAUGGUCAGCCACACUGGAACUGAGACACGGUCCAGACUCCUACGGGAGGCAGCAGUGGGGAAUAUUGGACAAUGGGCGCAAGCCUGAUCCAGCCAUACCGCGUGGGUGAAGAAGGCCUUCGGGUUGUAAAGCCCUUUUGUUGGGAAAGAAAAGCAGCAGGUUAAUACCCCGCUGUUCUGACGGUACCCAAAGAAUAAGCACCGGCUAACUUCGUG
rnacentral:rRNA from 1 species